AACGAACGCUGGCGGCGUGGAUAAGACAUGCAAGUCGAACGGGACUAAAUCUGUAGCAAUACAGGUUUAGUUUAGUGGCGAACGGGUGCGUAACACGUGGGCAAUCUGCCGAGAAGUGGGGGAUAGCUCGCCGAAAGGCGAAUUAAUACCGCAUAUGAUCAGUGAAGACAUCUUCACGACAUCAAAGCCGGGGCAACCUGGCGCUUCUUGAUGAGCCCGCGGCCUAUCAGCUAGUUGGUGAGGUAACGGCUCACCAAGGCUAUGACGGGUAGCUGGUCUGAGAGGAUGAUCAGCCACACUGGCAC
rnacentral:rRNA from 1 species